rnacentral:rRNA from 1 species
CACGUAGGGGGCAAGCGUUGUCCGGAUUUAUUGGGCGUAAAGAGCUCGUAGGCGGCUCAGUAAGUCAGGUGUGAAACCUCCAGGCUCAACCUGGAGACGCCACCUGAUACUGCUGUGGCUAGAGUCCGGUAGGGGAGCAUGGAAUUCCUGGUGUAGCGGUGAAAUGCGCAGAUAUCAGGAGGAACACCAGUGGCGAAGGCGGUGCUCUGGGCCGGAACUGACGCUGAGGAGCGAAAGCGUGGGGAGCAAACAGG